rnacentral:rRNA from 1 species
GACGAACGCUGGCGGCGUGCUUAACACAUGCAAGUCGAACGAAGAGCGAUGGAAGCUUGCUUCUAUCAAUCUUAGUGGCGAACGGGUGAGUAACGCGUAAUCAACCUGCCCUUCAGAGGGGGACAACAGUUGGAAACGACUGCUAAUACCGCAUACGAUCUAAUCUCGGCAUCGAGGAUAGAUGAAAGGUGGCCUCUACAUGUAAGCUAUCACUGAAGGAGGGGAUUGCGUCUGAUUAGCUAGUUGGAGGGGUAACGGCCCACCAAGGCGAUGAUCAGUAGCCGGUCUGAGAGGAUGAACGGCCACAUUGGGACUGAGACACGGCCCAGACUCCUACGGGAGGCAACAGUGGGGAAUCUUCCGCAAUGGACGAAAGUCUGACGGAGCAACGCCGCGUGAGCGAUGACGGCCUUCGGGUUGUAAAGCUCUGUUAAUCGGGACGAAAGGCCUUCUUGCGAAUAGUGAGAAGGAUUGACGGUACCGGAAUAGAAAGCCACGGCUAACUACGUG